CAAAAAAUCAAAAUCUACUGCAAAAUCAAAAACCAAAAGUCAAAAACUAAAAUCUAAAAUCCAAAAACCAAAAUCCAAAAACCAAAAACUAGAAUCUAAAAACUAGGAAAACAAUCAUCACCUGGAUAAAAAAUAGUUUUUGCAAAAACAAAAACCAAAAACUAAACCAAAAACCACAAACAAUCAACCUAUAACUAAAUUCCUAGAUUUUCUCAAAAAUUCAAUCCCACGUUCAAAAGCUUCAAACUAUUAUUUUUUCAUAUUUAAAGUUCUAUCCACUUCGCAGUUCUCCUUCUCUAUCAUCUUCAUUGUAAAAUCUCCUUUGUUCUUUUGUUUUUCUUAGAUAUUCAACUGUCACGGGAAAAAAAAACUUAUGCAAAUUUAAAACUACUCUUUAUUUGAUUUAGUGUUCUCUUAUUCUACAAAUAAGUCUGUUUUGUUCUGUAUAUCUAGGAUUGAAGACAGCACUUCAAUCUGAGCUUACGCCUUUUAUAAGAGAACGGAAAAUAAAAAUUCAUCAGUAACUAAGGUAUAAAGUAUAUCCAAUUCUUUUUUCAGCAAAUUACAUACUACAUAUAUCUGUUCUGAAUUGUUUGAAAAAAAGAAGAAAAAAGAAGUGUAUGUGCGUUACUAUCAUCCUACUUAAAUAAAAAAAAUAUUAUGCAUUUUUCUUUUGUUGUUUGUGUAGUUUAACAGUAGAUGAAAUCCUUAAGAAAUCAUCAAAUUUUGGAAGAAGAAAACUUAAUAUAUGAGUAGCACGUAACAUAAAACUUAAGCCAAUCACAAAAUUUCAAACUUAUAAAUUAACUUUCUAUAACCAAAAUGAACUCUACCAUCUUUUACCACUUUUCUUUCAGUUGUUUCAUUGUUAUUGAGUUUUUUUUUUUUUAUCAUUGAUUUAUAUAAGGCAAAAGAAAGACAGUUCAUGUUGUCAUCAAAGAAACAUGAGAAGGAUGACAUAUUGGUGUUGCUGUUGGGACGAGAUUGAAGUAUAAGAAUUUUAGUUUAUUACCGCCGUAAAUUGUUAUGAUUUUUUCAAUAUUAUCAUAUUUUAUGGUUUUAUUACGCAAAUACAAAUUAGCAUUCUUCGUAGAGACAACAUAUACCUUCUUUGCAUAUGUGGUGUUAGUAUAUUUUAACCCAAAGUAUAUUGUUAAUAUAUGUUCAAAUUAUAUGUUAAAUAUACAAAAACUUAAGAUUUUUUCCCACCAAACACUAGUAUGUUCUAAACCUGGAGUAAGUAAGAUACCAUAACUGAUGAGAUAUAAACACGCAAAUAUGAGUUUGAAACGACAUGUAUCUUAGUUUUACCUCUGUCAUUGACGCCAUAACAGUCAGUAAGAUCGAUUUCUUGAAGUAUAUGCAUAAACAGUUUUGGUAAAAUAUAUGCUAUUUAACAGAUGUUUAUAAGUUAUCAAACAGCGCUAUUUUAAACUGUUUAUUUUUGGCAUAUUGUGUAAAAUAAUUUAAAUAUACAUAUAGAAUUAUUUCUUAUAUCAUAUAAACUUUUUCAGUAAAAUAUGGUUGUUUGAAAAAGUUUUAUAUGUUAAAAUUUUUAUCAGACAAUCUUAUACAAUAAAGGAGAGUUGUCUCUCUCCUUAGGCUAUCCACAUCAUCAGGAAGCAUAGGGCUUUUUCUGCCACGUGGCAUCUCAUAUAAAGUUCAUUCUGGUGUUGCGUCAAGUCAUCCGUUGCUUUAUUCUUUCGGAAAGUAAUGGGCGACAAAAGCAUUUUUGAUCAGGGCUUUGUCACUUAUUGUUUGGGCUUCGCUAAAUUAGUGUACCGUUUAGCUAUGGCCCACUUGAUAUUGUCUUUGGCGGAGCCCUAGCUUCACUUUUCACGUUGUGAGUGAAACAUCAUGGUAAAGUUUUAGACUGUGCUUCAAUGCUUUAUUAAUUCAGCCUUCAUGACCACCUUCGUUGCAUAUAAAUACAAACCGUAUGAGAGACAAAGUAUAAUCCUUUUGCUUUCCCUAAUUCCUAGCUUCUGUUUAUUCUCAGUGAAACGUUCAACCAUGGCGACUUUUCAAGUACAUUUCUUGGAGUUCACAUCAGACUAAUUUGAUUUUGGAAAAAGGGCCGUCAUGUGAAGAAAGGCGGGGAGCUGAUGGACAUUGAUAUAGUACUUAUUGAUACGAAGUUUGUCGGAUCCUUAUUUCAAUUAUUAAUUGAGUGUUUUAGGUUUUUGUUAACUGGUUCAUUCUUUCCCAGGGGACGCUCAUCAACGCUGCUCUCGUCUUGGACCAGUGAGUGUUGUAGUUUUUGUUUCUGAUGGUAAGCUUUCUUUAAAACUUGUGUUAUGAUCUCAAGUUGUGAGUGAAACAUCAUGGUAAAGUUUUAGACUGUGUUUUUUAGGUUAGCAUUUGCCUGAAAUUUUCCUCGAGUCUGUUGUUGGGUUUUUCUUUUAUGACUGAACUGCAAAAGUGAAUUUCAAAAAAAAUUUUCUCUGCUCAGUUGAUUUUUCAGAAUGAUAACUGCAGUUUCAUGGAUACCAAAAGGGGCUCCAAAGGUGAUGCAUGAUGAUGCUGAGCCUCAUUCUAAGGAAAAGAUCAAUGAGCUGUCGAGAAUGGCACCCUCAAAAAAAGUUGAAUUCUUUUCUAUUUCCUGUCUCUACUGUACAUUUUCUAUAAAUCACUCUUUGAUUUGUGGUUACAUGGAUAUCAUCUGCUAUCUGAGUGACAUGCAUGGACGAAGUUGAAAACGGGAUGGAGCAUGAAAUAAUAGUGGUGAAGUUGCUCAUACCAAGGCUGUAGCUAAAUCUUUUGGAAAACCAUGUUCCAAAAGCAACAAGCUGAUCGGGAUUCAAACUGAUAAUGGAUGGUGUUAUAUUUCAUGGUAAAAAUCCUCCAAGAAGCUUAGCUGUAGCUACCUGAAAAAGUAAAUCUGCUUACUAUUACUUAGCUUUAUAACAUUGUUGCCUUAAACGUAACCUAGGAGCCGGUUUGUUUGAUUUGAAAACAAGAACAGGUUCAUACUUUCUUCGAAGCUAAAGUGAUGUUUCAUCUCAACAAUUUCAUUAAUUGGUAGUGCUCUCUUAGUUUCAAUCUAUGAGAUUCAUCAUGUUCUAUCGACUCAAACUGUUUCUCAAUUCCCAGUUGUUAUAUGUUUGUUCAGUAGUCUCUCUUUAUUGAAUAACAUCUAUAUAACUUGGGCCAAGGUGUUUGUUCAGUAGUCUUAAGGUAAUGCUAACAUCGUACAAUGACUUCGUUUAUGUCACAAUGUUUUAUCUCUUUCUCUUUGGAUUCACUUACAAUAUUGUGGCGAUGUUUCCCUCCAAUUGUUAUUUUGCGGCUCAGAGGAAACUUAAACCCGUCUCAUGUAAAUAUAUCUUCAUCCCUUACGUGGUUAGCAAACGACUGAAACAUAUCUGAAAAUUCUUUUUACUUUUCUCUUUUUAGCUCUAUAAUUUGUUACUUCCUUCUCUAGCUUGAAGACACUGAAAACUUAUGAUAAAUACGUAAUGGCAAGCUUCAUGUAUGGAAUGGUGAGCACAGUUUCUAGCUCUAGCUUCUACAUAUACUUACUAAGAAAUUUCGAGAGCAUUUCGAUCUUUUCUUAAAGAGCCAAACCUAUCUCUUUUCUUAGAUCAGGCUAAUCUAAGAAGGCUACAUGGAAGAUUCUACCAACCUCAGUCUAGGUUUGCUUUCUCAGUUCAGACCCUACUGUUUUAAGGUUUAAUGAUCAUAAGGCUGCAUUACUGAUGCCAUGAAUAUAUACAGAGAAGAUUGUAAUUCACUCAAGUCUAACCAAGUAGAAGCUGAAAGUAGUCAGAAAAGUUAUUAACCCAUUGACCACAGUCAAAGCACGUGUGAACAAUGAUGGUGUAGCCAACACGCUGAUCCAACACCAGUGGCGUCCAUCACUAUUUGUAGUUUGUCAGAGACUUGGGAUCUUGCAGUUUCCACAACGAAUAAUCCAAAAGCUGAUUUUGGCAUGGCACAUCAAGUGCUUUAGCUUUGGAUGCUCACCAAGAAGAAUUAUCAGUUUUCAGUAAAGUGACUGUUGACAUUCAUCUUUUCUUUUUUAUCUCCAUGCCCUCUUCAGUCCAUCCAUAAUAUGAUCUACUCAGGUUUAUCACCAUAUUUUUUUAUCAACCCUCAGGUUUAUCUAUAUAUAAGUUUUUGAUUACAGUCACUUAUCUUUUCAUUAGAUUUUCUAUUGUAAACUGGUGUAAGAAUAAAAUUAAGGAUAUACACUAUAAUAUAGAAGAUUAUUUUGAAUUAAAAAACCUUUAGUUUAUUAAUUUGUUUAAUAAAUCUGCAGUGAUCUAUCAUCGUAGAAAGGUAUAUUCAAGCAAGAUAAAUUAAUUAAAAUGUCCCUGAUUAAAAAAAAAAUUUCAACAACCAACCUGAUUUAAAUUAUUUUUAGUUACAACUACCUAAAUGGUGCAGCGAGAAGAAGUCGACAUAAGUGCACAGUGGUAGAAAAUACUUGGUGCAUUUUCAUUAAGCUAAAAAAAAGUAAACCUCCUUCACUACUAAUUUACGGCACGUUUAAACACAUUUACAUCUUAAUGUUACAAAUUUUAGAUGUAUGGCUUAAAGAUUGCAAUAUAUUCCAACAUAGCACUCAAAACUUUGGUAUACUCUCUUCUAUCAUCCUCCACACCGAUUUAUGUUUAUAGAUUUUUGGGACUUCGUCCGCAAAUCUAUCUUUGUUUUAAAAAACGAUGUUUUCGUUUCUUGUUUACAUCACAACACAUUUGUGAUCUAUCUGCAUGAACUUUGGCGAAUCUCUUAAAAUAAAAGAAGAAGUAAAAGUCAAAUAUGGAGCAAUAGAAAUCACUGCGCUGUAUCAAUAGAAAUCCACCCAUCUAAGCAUUUAAUCAAUAUACUAUUUGCAUAGUACGAGCAACACAAAUUUAAAUUAUUGCUUUGUAAUCGAUGGAUGAUAUAUAUACAAUGACAAUGCAAGCCUAUUUUGUGUGUGUACAUAUAUAUAUAUAUAUAUAUAUAUAUAUGAGAAAGACGUUCAGUUACAUAUCAUGUAUUAGCAUGUGAUAUCCAAAGACAACUAUAAUAUAAAUAUUUAACUACACAAAAUUUGUUAUACUUUAUUAAUAAUUAUUUUGAUCACCAACUCAUUCUCAGAAAAUAACAGUAUUAUGCAAAUACGAUUAUGAACAUUACUCAAACUAAAUAUAUAUAUAUAUAUCAAAUAAAUCAACAUAGAUGGAGGACGAGGAAAAAAAGGGAUAAAUGUUCUAAUACCUUUAAAAGCUAUAAAUUUAAUGGUUCAAAAGCCAAAAUAAAUUUUGAACGGAUUUUUCAUUUUAAAAAUAUUUUAACUAAACUUAAAUAAGUACGAUAAAAAUAUUGAGAUUAAGCUAAGCUUAAAUCAUUUUUAUAUGUUUUUCAUCACGUGAUAUAUAAUUUACAAUAAUAAGCAUAACAAAUUUUGAGUAGUAAACAUUCAAAUCUAAUAGACCAAAAAAGUUAAAAAAAAAAUUAAAAAAAUUCAAAACCUGUCUAAUGAUUUAUAUUUUAAUAAUAAACUUUAAUAUAUACAAAAUAUGUAAAUAAUGUAAAAUGAUAAAAUUUAAAAUAAAUUGUAUGAAAUGAAGCCUCCAACAAAUUGCCAUAUCUUUGACAUAUAUAAAGUAUGCGAAUAUUGUUAAUAGUUUAAGAUGAUGAAACAAUUUAUUAUCUUCCUUCAAACAAGAUAAUCACAAAACAAACACAAGCAUUUACAUGUUUCCUUUUCAGACAUCAACUUUACUUUAUGUUUAAAUUUCAACUGAAUUUACUUUGUUACGACUAUCAGCUUUUUAUACUACUUUUAUUGAAUCAAUCAGUCACAACUCACAACCACUUAUGCUAUUCUACACUGACCUAAGAAAUUUCAAAACCAAAUAAUACACUACUGUCGCAAAACACUAUCAAAUGGAUCAGAAAAAAAAUAUCAUUCUCUUUCUACAUAUAUUCAUCUUCAAAUUUUUUAAACACAUUUUCUUUACUGAAACCAUAAACUAAAUUGUAAAUUCAUUUAAGAAUAAAACAGACAAACCCGGCGCGUAGCGCCGGAAAACCACUAGUACUUUAUAUUAUAAGGAGUUUGAUUUCUCUAUUUACAUAUUGUAUAUUGUAGUACACAUGGGCGGAUCCAGGUGUGGAGAGGGUGUGGCAUAUGCCACAUGCUACAUAAUAUAAGUCUCUAGUUACGUGAAAAAACACAUUAUCGUGUAUUUCUUGUGGUUCUAACGAUUAAGUGGUGCCAAACCCUCUCUCAGUUCGAACCUACCAAGAAUUUUUUCAAAAUUUGUUUCUACACUUUUAAUAAUCUUUCUCUUUUUCUUUCAUUUUGCUACCUACAAUUAUUUUACUUUCUUUCACAAUUGUUUUCUUUUCUUUCCUUUCUCUAAUGUAACUUUUUACAAAACAAAAAUAUAAUUUAUUUAAAUUUUAGUCUAAAAGUUAUUUUACUAAUAUUUUCAGUACUUAGAAUAAAAUAAAUAAAUAAACUAAAAUCAAUAAAUAAUUUUUUUGUAAUAAAUAUAUUAUGCUCUAUUUAUAAUUUUAUAAUAUUACUUAAAAUGGAAUAUUAAAAUUAUAAAAUUAUUUAUUUCUUUUAAUAUGAUCUAUUUUCUGAAAUUUAUAAAUGUAAUGUUUUAGUGAUUAAUGUAUUUAAAAUAUAAUUUAAUGAAAUAAAUUAUAUUUGAUAUUUUAAUAAAUACACACACAUAUAUAUAUAUAUAUAUAAAUUAUGCCACAUGUUAAACUAAUUUCUGGUUCCGCCCCUGGACUAGUACACAAUACUUUAUCUUAAAAUUUUAAGGUAUCUCUUCUUUUUUUUUAAAAAUCACCAAAAAUAUGUAAUAAAAUAUAUAUUAUAUAUAGUUUUAAGAUAAAAAAUUUGUAAGAGAAAUAAUCUGCAAGUAUUUACAUUUUUGAAAAAAUAUAUUUAGGAUGAUGAUAUUGUUGAACUUUAAUAUUUCACGAUUCAUUAGUUGUGUGUUUAGUUUCUAUUCCAAAAUGAAACAUGCUGUAAAAUAUUUAGCUUUUUGAGUAUUAAUUAUUUAGUGAGAAAUUUUGCAAAAUGUUUUGCAAUAAUUACAGUUUGCAUAAAACUACAUUUACGAUAAGGAAUAUUGAUGAUCUUAGAUAUUCUAUGAUUAGAGCCGAGCUCACCGGCAAACUUGUUUCAUCCCUCUCCGACUCUCUCUACAUCUGGUGGGCAUUUUCAGUGAUUUCAGGCGAGCAUUCUGGCAAGCAUUCCGUCGAGUGUGACUCAUCUCCCCCUUGCAAAACCCUAAUUGUGAUGAUCUUGCGGUUGAGAGAGACACUCCCGCAUCUUCCCUCUUCACGAGAGGUGAAUCAUCUCUGGUGUUCAAGCCGGUCUUCUGCUCCUCCUUUAUGGAACGAGUUGUUUUAAGCUCAGCCUUUAUGGCACUGGCGUUAGCCUUUCGAGCGGUUACGGACCAUUCAUUGGUCGUGGGUCUAAAGAAAGCUGAUUUCAGAUCUGCUCUCCUCCAAAUCUCAACUUAUAGAAGUCUCGAGGACUGGAUUUCUUUUGUUGAAGAAGUGGCGGCUGCUUCUGUUUUGUCUACAGCUUCAGGCACAGUUCGAGUUUUCUGAAUGUGUUCUCAAAUUCUUUCGACUUUGCCUCCCUAUUUAUCUCAAAGGAAUUGGUACACUACUGUAUAAUUCUUCUAUUUCUAGCAAGUUGCAUUAUCUUCUAUGUAGUAGCGUCAAUGUGGUUGUCUGAAUUUUCAUGCUGUCCAGUUCUGGAACAAUGAAAGAAACGUGGGUUUGGAAAGUCGAGAUUUGGGUUUAAUUUCAGAUUUUGCUUUCUGGAUCUAGAAGAAGUUGGGGGAAAAAUAAAUUAGGGUUCAUCUCACCGGUGAUAGAUUUGUGAAGUAAUGGAAAGAGAUAAGAUCAUCUGUUUUGUAAAAAGUUAAAAUUUUACGAUUUUGUAAAAAGAUAAAAAUAAGAUAUCGGUUUUGGUUAGUUGGAUUGGGUAAAGAGUUUGGUUAGUUGGAUGAGAUUUCUAGUUAAUUCAAGAUGUCACUUAGUUGAGAGUUAUCUUAGUAAAUCUAGCAUGAAAAAGUGUGCUAAAUAUACAAUGUGCCUCUUAGUGAUAUUGUAAACUCAACUUGUGUCACUCAAAGUAAAUAUUUCUUAAUAUAUUAGAUGUAUCCUGAAACUCAAUUUUCUUCACGCACUCUUUAAAUCAACAUUAAAAUAUCAACUCGGCUAACUUAACUAAGAAAUAUGUGGAUAAAUAGUUUUGGUGAUCAGGUCUCAAAAAUUAUGAGAUAUGUAAGCAAUAGUUCUGAUCGAAAGGUUUGUAAUCAAAAGACAUAACAUUGGUAGAAAUUACUUCCCUAACUAUAUUCAACCAAGGAUUUUGACAACUGCCGAAAUGAUAAAAAGACUCCUGAUAUAUUUUUUUUUUGAAACACAUUAAUUUGAUAGAAACGGUUAGUGAGGCGCAAUAAAAGCUACCUCAACCACCAAAUGUUCAUACAAAGACAAAGCAUGUUUAGCCAAGCUAUCAGCUAUUAAAUUCUUCUCUCUAGAGAUCCAAACAAAGGAGAUGAAAUCAAACUUAGCAGCGAAAGCUAAAAUGUCCGAGGUCACGCUAUGGAGUUCUGCAAUUCCAAGCUCUGAGUUGAUGCACUUGAUGAGUUGUGCCGAAUCCGAUUUAAAUCGUACUGUCCGUAGACCGUGGUGGUAACAAGAGACCACCACUUCUCUCAAAGCUAAACCCUCUGCCAUGAGAGGAGAAGCUACGAAGCCCAUAGUCUCCUGGUAGUCUUGAUUCUGUGGUGGCGAGAAGAUAGUCCAUCCAACUCCGGCGAACUUAGAGUUCUCAUCCCAUGCCGCAUCUGUUCUAACGGUCAGGACACCAUCCGGUGUUACAGGUGCUGAGCUUUUCCUUGUGUUGUGCGCAGACUGUUCUGGUUUGCAGUUGUUGCUCCAUUCACGAGCUAGCGAGAUCGCAGCCGAAAGAGUAUCUUCCGGGGAGGCUGAAAAACCUUCGAAUACAAAUUUAUUCCUUGCUUUCCACAGUGACCAGAGAAUCCAUGGAAAGAGGGAGCCGUUAGCCAUUCCCGCUGGUGGUAAGCAUUUUUCGGAAACGAGAGCUGACCAGCUAUCCCUUAAAUCUACUAUUCCUCUACCUUCCCAAUCAUUCACAAAAGGAGCCAGACCUUUUGUGCGAAUUGACAGUGGAAUAGAAGAUGAGUGAUAGAUUCGUUGUCUCCACACCGCUUGCAUCUAGGAUCAACAUCGAUGUGUCUCUUCACUAAGCGGGCUCCCACCAGAAUAGCUCCUUUCAGAACCCUCCAGGAGCAAUGCUUAACCUUGGGGGCACAUUCAAGGUUCCAGACAUUCUUCUUCCAGUUAAAGCCUGGUUCAGUGGGGUUUCCUCCAUUGGUAUCCACAAUCGCAGUGAAGUACCCUGAUUUGGAUGUAUAUUCUCCAGUUUUUGUCCCUAACCAGACUAGCUUAUCCGGAGCCCCGGUUAGACUUGGCUUCAGACACAGAAUUGUGGUUUCAUAUGCUGGAAGCAGAGUUCGGAUUUUAGUCAUGUCCCAGUUGCUCUCUCCUGCUACCAUUCCGAGACUGUCAGUUCAAAUGUGGUUGUCUGAAUUUUCAUGCUGUCCAGUUCUGGAACAAUGAAAGAGACGUGGGUUUGGAAAGUCGAGAUUUGGGUUCAAUUUCAGAUUUUGCUUUCUGGAUCUAGAAGAAGUUGGGGGAGAAAUAAAUUAGGGUUCAUCUCACCGGUGAUAGAUUUCUGAAGUAAGGGGAAGAGAUAAGAUCAUCUGUUUUGUAAAAAUUUUAAGUUUUACGAUUUUGUAAAAAGAUAAAAAUAAGAUAUCGGUUUUGGUUAGUUGGAUUGGGUAAAGAGUUUGGUUAGUUGGAUGAGAUUUCUAGAUCAAGAUGUCACUUAGUUGAGAGUUACCUUAGUAAAUCUAGCAUGAGAAAGUGUGCUAAAUAUACAAUAUGUCUCUUAGUGAUAUUGUAAACUCAACUUGUGUCUCUCAGAGUAAAUAUUUCUUUAAUA